rnacentral:rRNA from 1 species
GAUGAACGCUGGCGGCGUGCCUAAUACAUGCAAGUCGAGCGAACAGACGAGGAGCUUGCUCCUCUGACGUUAGCGGCGGACGGGUGAGUAACACGUGGAUAACCUACCUAUAAGACUGGGAUAACUUCGGGAAACCGGAGCUAAUACCGGAUAACAUGUUGAACCGCAUGGUUCAACAGUGAAAGACGGUUUUGCUGUCACUUAUAGAUGGAUCCGCGCCGCAUUAGCUAGUUGGUAAGGUAACGGCUUACCAAGGCAACGAUGCGUAGCCGACCUGAGAGGGUGAUCGGCCACACUGGAACUGAGACACGGUCCAGACUCCUACGGGAGGCCGCAGUAGGGAAUCUUCCGCAAUGGGCGAAAGCCUGACGGAGCAACGCCGCGUGAGUGAAGAAGGUCUUCGGAUCUUAAAACUCUGUUAUUAGGGAAGAACAAAUGUGUAAGUAACUAUGCACGUCUUGACGGUACCUAAUCAGAAAGCCACGGCUAACUACGUG